GUGGAGCCGGUUGUUUCCCUGAGAACAGCAAGAAGAAGGUGAAAAUCAUCUUUUGAAUUCAAGAGCCCAGGAGUGCCACGUGUGAAUUUAAUUUCACAGCAGAGCCUAGGGCACAGAGUUCCCCCGAUGCUUGAAGAGGAUCAGGACCUGCUUGGAGGACUCAGGAAUCCCACCCAAAACUGGAGCUGCUCCCCCAACAGCCACUCUGAAAUUGCCAUCAGCAGAAGCUGCAUUGUUUGAACAGGAGCUGAAUUUCGCUGGAAAGGGCUCAGAAGGAGCUGCUGCCUCCCCAGUUUCCUUCUGCAGUGAGAGUUGCCUGAGCUGAGGCUGCUUUGGCCUGCAUUAAUAUUUACAGACCUGGUUUAUGGAUCUGAAGAUUGAUUUAGCACGAGAGUAAUGCAGGGGAGCAGAUGAGCCAUGGGAAUGGUGAGCUCUGCUUUGCUGAGAUUCAUAAAUCCAAAAGCCACGCUGAGGUGAAGAGCUUUCAGAGGAGCAGCACCUAAUGCCUGAGAAUCAUUGGAUGUCUGAAGUCUUAAACAAGUUGGAAACUCAUCUUUCACAGGGAUAUGGAAAAUAAUCUUGCUGGGAGGAAGAGAGCUCAAGGGAGAAUAUAGAUGUCCUGUUAAUCAGGACAUAAAAAAGAAAGGAGAAGCUGUGAUGUGACAGUGACUGGUGGGAGAAAAUCUGGCAAACAGCAGAGAGAAGAUCGGGAGAUAUGACAAUUUGGGAAAUGUGCUUUUAAUGCAGCCGAGUCUCUGCUGGAGCUCUGAGCAGUGCUGAGGCAGUGGUGUCCCCUUGGAUGAAGAAGCAACAUCACCCAGGAAACACCAACAGGGAUCAAGAGUAGCUCGACCAUCUCCUCAACCAGAGAAAUCCCAUCUAGAGGUAAAGGGAAGUUCCUAGCUGGCUCCUUUCCACACUGACCACACACCCUGGUCCAGUGCUCAGCCAGCUGGAAACAAGAGGGUACAGAAAGAUCCUUUUUGACUUAUGUGCAACUUUCUUUGGGCAUCUUGGGCUCUCCAGCACUAAACACAAAUGAAAGUAAAACAUCUGCAAAAAAACCCCAACAUUCUCAAAAAAACUUUUAAGAGCACCCAGUGCAAACCCUGCUCAAAGAGGGCUGGACAGAGCCAUUGCUCAGGAUUGUGUCCAUUCAGGUUUGAGCAUCUCCCCAGAAUCAUCAGGGAGGUGUUAACACAACUGAACAGCUGCUACAGACAAAAAGCAAUUACGGUUUCAGCAGGACAUGGUUUGCUUAACAAGGCCUUCCCAUUUUUCCUGAUGACUGCUGGAACAGAGCAGGGAUUUAGGAGGAGCGGAAGAAACAGAAUUGGACUCUUUAAAUAAUUACAAACUUCUUUAUCCUGUGUAGUGCCUGCACAGUGUGGAACCUGAGCAGGUCCUCAGAAGAGAUUUAGGGAAAUGUUGAGUCUGGUGAUGAAUAACCAGUGAAAAAUCUUCCCCCGGAUACCCCAGCUGGAAUUCCAGCACGAGCUCACCCCAAGCUCUGCCUCGUUUGGUGUGGAGGAGCAGAUGUCCAACGCUGCUCCAAGAGCAGCACGUGGGGCAGCACUUGCUGUUGGAUUUGUGACUGUGUGGUUUCUGCUUGGGGAGCUGUGAGUUUGCAAACACAGCUCAGUUUCUCUGCCAGCUCACCCCUCGACCUUCUGCUGAGAGUGACAUUCUAGCGCCAGCUCUGGCGGCAGUUUGGGAUGUGGAUAUUUAUCCACUGCAGCUCUGGACCAAGCCCAUCAAUUCCCUGCGUGCAGAGGAUGAAAUGAGCCACUGGGCAGCUCUGACUUCCAGCCCUUGCUGGCUGGGGUCAGCAGGGAGCCGGCGCCCUUUCCGUGGAUGACACCAUGGCCUGUCACAGAGCUCUCAUUUAAAACACUCCUCUCAAAUAGAUGAAGAUACGCCCUAAUCACUAAUCAAAGAACAGCCUUAAUGCCUCAAAAACGUGGAGCAAGCUGCAGGCAUCAGAAUAAAUUACAACUGAAUUUGAGCAGUCAUUGAAUAAAAAGUUCAGGGGCCACGCCAGGGAGAGCCCUGGGAGUGGGUGAUCCAUCAUUAAUUCAGCCUGGGAGGUCACUCCUGCAAUGCUCCAAAUGCCCAUUAAACAUUUACAGCUUUUUAUUUUUACAGCUCUGUGCCACACUCAGGGUGAUGGGCACAUUUUACAGAGCUGUUUUGUUCAGUUCUGCAUGGCACAAGCUAAGGGUGUGAUUAACACACAAUUAUACACAAACCUGGAUCUGUGGGUGUGCAGAGAGCACUGGGGUGAUUUUUGUGUCUUCUCUCAUUCCAUUGCUUGCACUGCUCUUUCCCCUCCUGCUUUCACUGGGCCUUGCCAAGGGUCGACCCCAAGGCAAAAUGCCUGCAGGCUUUCCUGCCUGUGCCUUUCCUUCCUGAACUCUGACAUCCCAAAUAAUUCAGCAGGAACACCUCAGACCAGUUCCUUCCCUUCUCUCUCCUUACUCCCCUUCCUCUUCCUUGCAGCUUUAUUGCCUUUAUUAAGGCUAAACAUUAAUAAAACACCAUUUGAAUUCUUGAUUUUAAAAACCACACGAAAAAGCUUUUUUGGGGGACAAAGGCUUUGGGGGGAUGAUAGAAUAUAAGGAAAUGAAGAUAGUGCAGAAUGUAAUCUCAGCCCUGAAGAGUUGCAGCUGUAUUAAUUACCACAGAUUAGGAACAGGCCACAGCUGUGUCUAAUAAGGAUGAGAGCUAUAAAAAGAGUGAGUUAGGGGGUGAGGAGAGGGUUGGGGUUUGUUUGCUGUGAGGAAGGAGUUGGUGCUGCAAGGAGCUGCUCAUGAAGCCUCACUGAGAAGGUAUGGGACUUUUGCAAUGAGAUAACAACCUGAAUUCGCUGUUAGUUUUGGUUUUGAGGUUGGUCCUGUGUGGUUUUGAGCAGAUAAAUGCAGCUGAUGCUCAGCAUGGUGCAGCACAGCACUUUGCACAAUCCCACGCACCAGGGCUCACCUGCAGGGAGGCAAAGCCUUGGUGCUUGCUGGCAUUCCAGGUAAUCAGGGAAAGAAAACACCAGAGAGCCCAAAAUUACCUCUUUUUGUCAGUGCUCGCCUUGCAAAGCUGAACCUUUCUCUUAAAACACCAACAGUUUUCAUGAGUUUGUUGUGGCAAAGAGUUCUUGGAGACUGUCCUUCUCUAAAAAUAGAAACUCUUAUUUAUAAGAAUUAAACUAUCAUGCAUUAAAGAAAAUUAUUGCACCAAACAUAACUUUUUCUUGAAGAUAAAAAUAAAAUGCUUUACAGUUACACGUUCAAACAGUUGAUUUAUUCAUGCAUAUAAAUCUUCCCAAGGAUGUGUGUGUUUUCAGUAUCUUUUUUAUGCCUUAAUUUGCCGCUUAUUCCAGAGUGCCUUUGUUAGAAAAAUCCACGUAAUGUCUUAAAAAUAACAAUUUGUGGUACUCAAAUAGUAAAAAAAAUGAAAUUAAAGGUUUGUGAUGCAUCUUUCCACCUGUUUUUACACUGAACAAACCUUAGGAGCAGUGAGAAGAAAAUGUCACUUCAUGUCUAGUAAGUGCACACCUGAUGAGGGAAUUGGCUGCUCAGGCUCAUAAAAUGGCUUGGACUUAAUAAAGCUGGAUUGGCUCUCAGCUGCUUCCUGAAGGAACAAAGUUUGGUGUGUGAGGCUGUUA